CAAGGCCCGUUUCCAUUCUGCCAUCAGCCCAGGAAGACACUGAGCAAAUUCUUUGGCUUCCAGACAAACCUAAGCAGGAGACCUGGCAGUUUUAUAGGAAGGAGAGAAUUGCAUGGAUUAUGAUUCAGGGAUCUGAAUGAGACAUGGUCUGAGACUCAAAGUUGAUACCUGCUGAUUUUGCUCAUUGGCUAGUGCUCUACCAACUGAGCCAUACCUUCAGCCCCUCAAUACAUUUUUUUUAAUGACUGAACAUCAUUCCAAGGCACAAUUGAAGCUAGUGUGAAGCUUCCAUUGGCCUGGACAACAGCACAGAGACCUAGAAAGGACCCACCUAGCCAGUUAGCCACCUGAAGAGCCAGCAUGGCUCUUGUUAAAUAAGGCUUCACACUGAGAUAUCAUCCUAAAUCCAG